rnacentral:lncRNA from 1 species
CGGACUGCGGGUCCAGGGUCCAGUAGUUGCCCUUGCCCGGGUUGCCCGGCUCGCGGGGGAUCUUGACGAAGCAGUCGUUGAGCGAGAGGUUGUGGCGGAUGCUGUUCUGCCAGGCGGGGAACUUCUCCCGGUAGUAGGGGAAGCGGUUGCUGAUGAACUCGCAGAUGCCGCUCAGGGUCAGCUUCUUCUGCGGGCUCUGCAGGAUGGCCAUGGUGAUGAGCGCGAUGUUUACAGAAACCCUCCCGGACUGAACUCCGCGGAAGCCGGCAGCAGAGCGCGUGGAGGCGGCGGCGAGGACGCGGCCCGUGCACACCGAGUCUCCUUGGCAAGGGAGCUGCACCGCUUUGUGGCCCGCGGGCUCCGAACCGCUCCCAUCGCCGUCUACACAGCCUCCCGCGAAACCGACUGGAGCGGCGAGCUGGCUGCCCAUCGCCCCCCGGCUGCCGAGGCCGCGGCUGCAACUGUGCGAGGAAUCCAGUAAUUAUACAAAAGGAAGGUCGGAAGGACAAAACAAACCAACCGAAAUUGACAAAUUCUGAAUUUCCUUUGCUCAGCUUCGGUUGUUCAGCCCGGAGGCAGGCGCGGGCCGCAGCACGAGGCCCACCGCGGCCUAGGAGGCCGGGCCUGCGUGGACGCGUGCACGUGUGCGCGCGCGGGAGGGUGGCGGCCCCGGGGGGCAGUCCUGCGCGGUCUUCUUGAAGUAGCCUCCAAACGAGCCUGAUUUCGAUUCCGCCGCCCGCGGGGCUGCCUCUCCGACUCCCUCGGCGCGGCCGGCCCCUGCGCUCACCCUUCCUCGGCCAAGACCUGGCUUCAUCCAUCCACUCCCCGGUGUCUCAUUGGAACCUCCCUGGGGGAAAGGGGGGGUGGUGGUGAACAACUCCCAGCCGCCAGUUCCAUUUGUUGCGCUUUUUUCCUUCGAC